rnacentral:lncRNA from 1 species
UGCUGUUAUCCACGGCUGAACACAGUGUCCUUGAUGGCGCAGGCUGGCUCCUAUCUCUCUUCAUUCCUUCCUCCUCGCUCCUCCCUUCCAAGGUCCUCCCUAGACUGUUUCAGACACUGUUUGGUGCUCCCAGACAACGCUCUCAGCCAAAUCUUAUUUACCCACAGGCUUGGUGAAUUUCCAGGAAGAGGGACUGAGGCCAGGGUACUCCUGGCCCAGGAAAUUGUCAAAAGUGUCAAAAGGAUGGGGAUGUUGGAGGAGCUGGAGGAAGUUGGUGUUAUCUCAGGGGUAAGUUUAGACAAAAGCAUGAAGAUGCUGGAAGCUAUCUUCAGACCCACAAGUUCUCUUCACCCUCAGAUCUCCUCCAAGGUUUUGAUGCCUGCUGCCUCUUUUCUAGAAGGUCUGGUCUCCUGAGCCUGCUGAACCUGGAACUGACUUCCA